AGUUGAGGAGGCUGCAGUGUGACGGAGUCUCACUUUAAUUACAUUGUCUGAUCUGUACUCCAUCUCUGGUUACCAUUUGUUUGAAGAUUCAUAUAGGUCUAUCACAGGCUCCUUCCCUUCAUGGUUCUUGCUGUCAUCUUCAACCAAGAUUCUCUUGCCUUCAUCUCCCUGCAAUUCCACUGCUUUUGGGAUCACAUUGUCAUGACUUAGAGAGAAGAGCAGUCAAAUGAUGACACCAAUAAAGGCAAACCUGAACCCUAAAAGCA
rnacentral:lncRNA from 1 species